AGGCCAUGAGGAAUGAUUAGGGAUGCAUCAGAGGAGUGAUGUAAUCGGCUGUAUGGUAUAAGAAGAUAAGCACUUCCUGCAGGAUAAAUCGGAGGACACCAAGACUGGAAGGAGCUACUACAAGAUCAGCUGUGACCUCAUUGGUAAAAUAAGCAGAAAGGAAGGCAAGAGUAUUGUUAAACUGGUUUCCAAUCUACUGGUGUCCCAGUGAAUGAGGAGUUAAGGCAACGUUAUGCUACCCAAAUCAACUGAGAAAUGGGCACAUGAUGCCAUCCCAUCCGAUGAAAUGUGAGGACAUUAUUGUUUGAGGAUGUAAGCUUGAAGCUGCUUUGGAAUAUCAGAAACUAGCCUAAGGACAAACACCAACAUUCUGAAGACGGCAGAGCAAAAGAUGGAAAGAAGGAUCUCAUGUCUUGACAUUUUUAGAAUGAGCAUUGAGAGACAGCUAAGUGAAAGGACCACAGAAGCAAGAACUUGAGAAGGAAGAUUAGCCCUGAGCUAACGUCCGUCACCAAUCCUCUUCUUUUUGCUGAGGAAGACUGGGCCUGAGCUAACAUCCAUGCCCAUCUUCCUCUACUCCAUAUGUGGGACGCCUACCACAGCAUGGUUUUUGCCAAGCAGUGCCAUGUCCGCACCUGGGAUCCAAACUGGUGAACCCCGGGCCACCAAGAAGUGGAACGUGCGAACUUAACUGCUACGCCACCGGGCCGGCCCCCUACAAUAAUCUUGAUACAGAAGCACUGGGCCUGCAAUCAGACAGAUGGGGCCCACCAGCCUACUUGUUUUUUCUGCCACAUGUGCCACAACUGGUAGGCAGAUCAGAAUCAAAGGCAGAGCCCUGAAAUUCAGAUUUUGUUUCCUGAACCAUAUUUACCUCUCAGGCUUCUGCCAGGUCUUUACAUUUUAUAAGGCAAAAAUUGAAAGUUUCUGGCACACUCAGACAUGGGACCAGAAGACAAUAAAGCUAUUCAUCACUUUUGGCAUGAAUCUGUCUGUUCUUAGAAGAAUCUUAAAUUGUCAUUGACUUUAAGACAUUUUCAGCUUAAAAACCCUACAUCUAUGUAAGUCCAUGUGUUCUUUGUGUACUUUUGUGUUCUAUUCCAAACUCAGCCACAAAAGUAAACUUUUGGUAAAAAUGGUUCAGGUUCAGCAAAAUACCAAAUAGGAUUUGCCAAAAGUUAUUCUCCCUUAUAUUUUAAACCGCUGUGCAUUGUGGGGAAAACACAAUCCACUUGUCUCUAAUUCAUUUAUACUUAAUAAAGUAGAAAGUAAUAAAGUGAAAUAUUUUAUUAGUUGUCCACUGUCCGAACGGCCUUUUGAGAUUCUUGUAUAGUUUUCUUUUCUCUUGUCUUCCCUGUCUACGCUGACCUCAACUAACUAACUAGUGAUGCUUAAAUAGUAAAAGACUCCUUUCACUUUGAAACCUAGUAAAAUAUGCACCCUUGUUUCUCAUUUUUUAUCAAAGUAUUUAUGACCUGAUCAUUCGAAUGUAAUUUUCAAACACUUAACAAAGAUCUUACUGAAUUGUAUGGUUUUCUUUUGACGUUAAAACAGGGAGAAAAAGAACUCUAAGUAUGUUAAAACACUUCCAAGUUUUCCAGUUUGUUUCAGAAGAAAGGUUAAAUAAUUGCUAUCUUGUUCUUUUCACUAUUUGAUCCUACUUUAGAUAAUUUAACAUAAAUGAACAUUUUAAGUUAAAACAUUUUUUGGAAGCAGCAUCCAAACCAUGAUGUGUCUUUUCCCGUAUCAAAUAUUCAUAUAUAUGAUUUGAUAUGGAAGAGUUGGCUUUUCCUGACCACUCCUCCCACCACAAUCAAACACACCCAAUCCCUAUUAUCCAUAUCUGAUUUCCUUUUGAAAAUAAUGUAAUACAUCUGCUGUAAUCCUGGGGAGAUGUGGGGGAGACGUAAAUUCUGAUAAAAGUCAGACAUGUUGAUGACAGUCUGCAGCCCGAUACACUCGAAAAUACUGUGCAAGAUGCAAAGGAAAUUUCGUGAAAUGAUAACCCAUGGAAGAGCACUAUAUGUGAAGAGCAUCCAUGGAGCUACAGAGUCGGAGUGCUACAGCAUGAGGAUAGAGACUGUUUUCCAGAGAAGUAAAUUCCCUAACUUCAAUCCUUAUGUCAAACGGACUGAUCCAUGUCAGAAACAUUUUCUCUCUAAACUGAAUCUCUCAUACUGUUAUUAAAUUUUUAUUUCAUCAAGUCCUCUGUAAACAUUCAAUCGGCUGGAUUCCAAACUCUCCUGUAGUAAUGUAUUUUGUUCUUGAAAACUGUUAAUAAACCUUGGGACCUUAGAAAGGGUGUAUAGAAAUGAGACAUUGAGAACCACUUCAUAAUGGAAUCUACUAGAGAGCAAAGCACAGCUUAUUGGGUAAUUACAUGGAUGCUGGAGGCAGGUGGCAUGGGUUUAAAACUUUACUCUGGUAUUUUCUACACAUUCUCUUUGGGUAAGUUACCUAAGCUCUCUGUGCCUCAGUUUACUCAAAUAAAAAGACUAUAAAUAGUCCUUACUUGAUAUAGUUGUUGUAGAAUUUAAUAAAUUAAUUCCUAUAAAGCAAAUAUAUCUCCUUCACAACCAGCUCAUCUUUCAUCUAUUGCACUCUCUAUUACCUUUCCAGAGCCCAACGCCUACUUCUUUGUCAACAUUUGCCCAACAAAAUCUUCAAAACCAAGCUACAUAUCUACCUGCUCCUGGAAGAGCUCUGAGAUUAAUCCAAUUUAGCUCCAGUGUCUUCUACUCAGUCUUACCUCAGGACUCCAGUAGUGAAUAAACUAUUGUUAUAGGAAUUUAUUGUUCUGAAAUCAUUUCAUCCCACUUUAUAUGUCUGAUUUUUCUCUCUCCAAUGAGAAAGCCAGCUCUUGAGAGUAGAAAUAUUUUAUAUCUCUUUCAUUACUUGCUCCACUCUACCUCUUUAUCUAUACCACAUAUACAUACUGCAAUAUUCAAAAUAAUUUCUUUAGUUCAUUCAUUUCUUAAGAAAAUGUCACUAAAAGAGUUUAUUUCUUAACUUAAACAAAUUUUAAUUGUGGUAGGCACACAUAACUUAAAAUGUGCCAUCUUAGCCAUUUCCAGGUGUGUAAUUCAGUAGUGUUAAAUAUAUUCAUCCUGAUGUGCAACUAACCUUCAGAGCUUUUUUAACUUGUAAA
ensembl:lncRNA